rnacentral:rRNA from 1 species
UGGGGAAUAUUGGGCAAUGGGCGCAAGCCUGACCCAGCAACGCCGCGUGAAGGAAGAAGGCUUUCGGGUUGUAAACUUCUUUUCUUGGGGACGAAGAAAGUGACGGUACCCAAGGAAUAAGCCACGGCUAACUACGUGCCAGCAGCCGCGGUAAUACGUAGGUGGCAAGCGUUAUCCGGAUUUAUUGGGUGUAAAGGGCGUGUAGGCGGGAAUGCAAGUCAGAUGUGAAAACUAUGGGCUCAACCCAUAGCCGCAUUUGAAACUGUAUUUCUUGAGUGCUGGAGAGGCAAUCGGAAUUCCGUGUGUAGCGGUGAAAUGCGUAGAUAUACGGAGGAACACCAGUGGCGAAGGCGGAUUGCUGGACAGUAACUGACGCUGAGGCGCGAAAGCGUGGGGAGCAAACAGGAUUAGAUACC